UACAGCGGUCUCGAGCGUUGUUCGGAUUCAUUGGGCGUAAAGGGCGCGUAGGCGGUAUUGUAAGUCACCUGUGAAACCUCUGGGCUUAACUCAGAGCCUGCAGGCGAAACUGCAAUGCUGGAGGGUGGGAGAGGUGCGUGGAAUUCCCGGUGUAGCGGUGAAAGGCGUAGAUAUCGGGAGGAACAGCUGUGGCGAAAGCGGCGCACUGGACCACUACUGACGCUGAGGCGCGAAAGCUAGGGGAGCAAACAGG
rnacentral:rRNA from 1 species